UACGUAGGGUGCGAGCGUUAAUCGGAAUUACUGGGCGUAGAGCGUGCGCAGGCGGUGAUGUAAGACAGAUGUGAAAUCCCCGGGCUCAACCUGGGACCUGCAUUUGUGACUGCAUCGCUGGAGUGCGGCAGAGGGGGAUGGAAUUCCGCGUGUAGCAGUGAAAUGCGUGGAUAUGCGGAGGAACACCGAUGGCGAAGGCAAUCCCCUGGGCCUGCACUGACGCUCAUGCACGAAAGCGUGGGGAGCGAACGGG
rnacentral:rRNA from 1 species